UUGAACGCUGGCGGCAGGCCUAACACAUGCAAGUCGAACGGUAACAGGAAGCAGCUUGCUGUUUUGCUGACGAGUGGCGGACGGGUGAGUAAUGUCUGGGAAACUGCCUGAUGGAGGGGGAUAACUACUGGAAACGGUAGCUAAUACCGCAUAACGUCGCAAGACCAAAGAGGGGGACCUUAGGGCCUCUUGCCAUCGGAUGUGCCCAGAUGGGAUUAGCUAGUAGGUGGGGUAACGGCUCACCUAGGCGACGAUCCCUAGCUGGUCUGAGAGGAUGACCAGCCACACUGGAACUGAGACACGGUCCAGACUCCUACGGGAGGCAGCAGUGGGGAAUAUUGCACAAUGGGCGCAAGCCUGAUGCAGCCAUGCCGCGUGUAUGAAGAAGGCCUUCGGGUUGUAAAGUACUUUCAGCGGGGAGGAAGGGAGUAAAGUUAAUACCUUUGCUCAUUGACGUUACCCGCAGAAGAAGCACCGGCUAACUCCGUGCCAGCAGCCGCGGUAAUACGGAGGGUGCAAGCGUUAAUCGGAAUUACUGGGCGUAAAGCGCACGCAGGCGGUUUGUUAAGUCAGAUGUGAAAUCCCCGGGCUCAACCUGGGAACUGCAUCUGAUACUGGCAAGCUUGAGUCUCGUAGAGGGGGGUAGAAUUCCAGGUGUAGCGGUGAAAUGCGUAGAGAUCUGGAGGAAUACCGGUGGCGAAGGCGGCCCCCUGGACGAAGACUGACGCUCAGGUGCGAAAGCGUGGGGAGCAAACAGGAUUAGAUACCCUGGUAGUCCACGCCGUAAACGAUGUCGACUUGGAGGUUGUGCCCUUGAGGCGUGGCUUCCGGAGCUAACGCGUUAAGUCGACCGCCUGGGGAGUACGGCCGCAAGGUUAAAACUCAAAUGAAUUGACGGGGGCCCGCACAAGCGGUGGAGCAUGUGGUUUAAUUCGAUGCAACGCGAAGAACCUUACCUGGUCUUGACAUCCACGGAAGUUUUCAGAGAUGAGAAUGUGCCUUCGGGAACCGUGAGACAGGUGCUGCAUGGCUGUCGUCAGCUCGUGUUGUGAAAUGUUGGGUUAAGUCCCGCAACGAGCGCAACCCUUAUCCUUUGUUGCCAGCGGUCCGGCCGGGAACUCAAAGGAGACUGCCAGUGAUAAACUGGAGGAAGGUGGGGAUGACGUCAAGUCAUCAUGGCCCUUACGACCAGGGCUACACACGUGCUACAAUGGCGCAUACAAAGAGAAGCGACCUCGCGAGAGCAAGCGGACCUCAUAAAGUGCGUCGUAGUCCGGAUUGGAGUCUGCAACUCGACUCCAUGAAGUCGGAAUCGCUAGUAAUCGUAGAUCAGAAUGCUACGGUGAAUACGUUCCCGGGCCUUGUACACACCGCCCGUCACACCAUGGGAGUGGGUUGCAAAAGAAGUAGGUAGCUUAACCUUCGGGAGGGCGCUUACCACUUUGUGAUUCAUGACUGGGGUG
rnacentral:rRNA from 1 species